AUUGAACGCUGGCGGCAGGCCUAACACAUGCAAGUCGAGCGGAUGAAGGGAGCUUGCUCCUGGAUUCAGCGGCGGACGGGUGAGUAAUGCCUAGGAAUCUGCCUGGUAGUGGGGGAUAACGCCCGGAAACGGGCGCUAAUACCGCAUACGUCCUGAGGGAGAAAGUGGGGGAUCUUCGGACCUCACGCUAUCAGAUGAGCCUAGGUCGGAUUAGCUAGUUGGUGGGGUAAAGGCCUACCAAGGCGACGAUCCGUAACUGGUCUGAGAGGAUGAUCAGUCACACUGGAACUGAGACACGGUCCAGACUCCUACGGGAGGCAGCAGUGGGGAAUAUUGGACAAUGGGCGAAAGCCUGAUCCAGCCAUGCCGCGUGUGUGAAGAAGGUCUUCGGAUUGUAAAGCACUUUAAGUUGGGAGGAAAGGCAGUAAGUUAAUACCUUGCUGUUUUGACGUUACCAACAGAAUAAGCACCGGCUAACUUCGUG
rnacentral:rRNA from 1 species